GUACACUCCUGCGGGAGGCAGCAGUGGGGAAUUUUGGACAAUGGGCGAAAGCCUGAUCCAGCAAUGCCGCGUGCAGGAUGAAGGCCUUCGGGUUGUAAACUGCUUUUGUACGGAACGAAAAAGCUCCUUCUAAUACAGGGGGCCCAUGACGGUACCGUAAGAAUAAGCACCGGCUAACUACGUGCCAGCAGCCGCGGUAAUACGUAGGGUGCGAGCGUUAAUCGGAAUUACUGGGCGUAAAGCGUGCGCAGGCGGUUAUGUAAGACAGAUGUGAAAUCCCCGGGCUCAACCUGGGAACUGCAUUUGUGACUGCAUGGCUAGAGUACGGUAGAGGGGGAUGGAAUUCCGCGUGUAGCAGUGAAAUGCGUAGAUAUGCGGAGGAACACCGAUGGCGAAGGCAAUCCCCUGGACCUGUACUGACGCUCAUGCACGAAAGCGUGGGGAGCAAACAGGAUUAGAAACCCGAGUAGUCCCA
rnacentral:rRNA from 1 species